rnacentral:misc_RNA from 1 species
CAAUCCUUUCCCAGUAUUGAGGUUUCAGUUCAAUCUGAAAAUUCUCUUCAGUCUCGUGGUGUAGAACCAACCAAAGUCCAGUCUCAAAAUAGGAACACUCUUCAUUUUCCAGUGGACUUCUCCAGAUCAGUAACUGAAAAGGAUAAUGGGGGUAACUCUGUGAUGACAGAUAGAAGGUUCUUUGAUACUGUUGGUGGUAGUGCUGAAAAUUCCCCACCACUUGAUGAGCAACAAGAUGAAGGAGACCAAAUAGCCAGUGGAGAUUCCAUGGCUGGUGGUGGCUGUGGCACACCAUCUGAAGAUGGAUAUAACUGGAGAAAAUAUGGACA